GCCCCUGUGGCCUAAUGGCUAAGGCGUCUGACUUCUAAUCAGAAGAUUGCGAGUUCGAUCCUCGCCAGGGGUU
rnacentral:tRNA from 4 species